rnacentral:lncRNA from 1 species
UCUAACAAGGGUAAAGAGAUUAUGCCCAAAGAUCGGGAAUAUGAGUAUAUCGAACUCCUAGUACUGUGAGUAACCUUACUAUCAUUUUAAUUAUCUAAAGUAUGUUUUUAAUCAGUUUUGGUGAAAUUUUAUGAAAAUGAGUUUAAAUGGUAAAUCUUUGUGUUUUACAAACAAAAUGUGUUUACAUGAAAAGAUUUUAUAAAUUGUCUUGAAAUUGAAUAAUGAUUUUGAAAAAUAGAGUAAUUGGAGACCACUUGUUAUGUUGUAAAAUUUAUGAUUUGAAUCGAAUGGCUUAUGACAAUAUUUGCAUAAAUGGCUGAAUUGAUAUUUGUAUUGAAAUAUAUGAAAUGUGUAUUUAGCCUUGAAAGGCUAUGAAUUACAAUAAUUGUCAUAUCAUGUUAUUAAAUUUUAUUGAUUGGUGGGAUAAUUAUUAGCUUACUAUAGUAGGCGGGUUUCCGUGGACUAGCCUAUUAGAGAGGCAUGGUAAACCCCGUUAUAUUUUACCUCGGUUGGAGAGACGAGUAGGGUAACUCUCGAGGUAUAACUUUUAGAGUUCACUUCACACCAAACCACCACGUGAGGGGAAACUCGACCAAUGCCAAGGAAUGGCUAUGUUUUCAAAAUAAAACAUGACUUCCUAAUAGCCUUGGCGGACUCAGUUGGGAUAGCCCUCGGCCAAGGUAUCCUAGAUAACUGAGUAUGAUAAUAAUUUUUGGCAUGAGCCAAGCUUUUAAGAAAUUCAUAAGCCAUAUUGAUUACUUGAUUUAAAUAAAUUGAUUUCAUUUGGUUGAAAUAAGUUGAAAGGUGAUAAAUUACAGUUUGAUGAAAUGUUUUAAUAGUCUCCUUUUACUCGUCUUUAGAUCUUUUAAAUGAUAUUUGUUUACUCACUGGGAUUUUAUAAUCUCACCACCCUCUUUUUCACCCAUUUCAGGCUCAGAAUAGAUUGUAGAUAACUGAUAUCGGCGAGGACUACAGUUGAACUUGCCACAUCCAAAAACUGUAGGUUCAUUUCUUUUGAUACUUUUAGUCAUUUAUGGGCCCACGUGUCACUGUAAAUUAAAUUUUAUACUUUGGUUAUCUAUAUUAAACAUGUAUGAAUUUAUUUUGCUUUUACGUUGUAAAAAUUAU